rnacentral:rRNA from 1 species
AGAGUUUGAUCAUGGCUCAGAACGAACGCUGGCGGCGUGGAUAAGACAUGCAAGUCGAGCGCUGAUUUGAGGGUAGCAAUAUUUUCAAGUCGGAGCGGCGCAAGGGUGCGUAACACGUGGGAAUCUGCCUUGAAGUGUGGGAUAACUCCGAGAAAUCGGAGCUAAUACCGCAUGUGAUCGUGAGAUCAAAGUUGGGGAUCGCAAGACCUGACGCUUCAAGAUGAGCCCGCGGCCUAUCAGCUAGUUGGCGAGGUAAAAGCUCACCAAGGCUAAGACGGGUAGCUGGUCUGAGAGGACGACCAGCCACACUGGAACUGAGACACGGUCCAGACACCUACGGGUGGCAGCAGUCGAGAAUUUUUCUCAAUGGGCGAAAGCCUGAAGGAGCGACGCCGCGUGGGGGAUGAAUGGCUUCGGCCCGUAAACCCCUGUCAUUUGCGAACAAAUUGACUCACCCAACACGUGUGUCAUUGAUUGUAGCGGAAGAGGAAGGGACGGCUAACUCUGUGCCAGCAGCCGCGGUAAUACAGAGGUCCCAAGCGUUGUUCGGAUUCACUGGGCGUAAAGGGUGCGUAGGCGGUUGGGUAAGUCUGACGUGAAAUCUCCGGGCCUAACCCGGAAACUGCGUUGGAUACUAUCCGGCUAGAGGAAUGGAGGGGAGACUGGAAUACUUGGUGUAGCAGUGAA